rnacentral:rRNA from 1 species
GACGAACGCUGGCGGCGUGCCUAAUACAUGCAAGUUGAGCGAUGAAGCUUGGUGCUUGCACCAAUUUGAAGAGCAGCGAACGGGUGAGUAACGCGUGGGGAAUCUGCCUUUGAGCGGGGGACAACAUUUGGAAACGAAUGCUAAUACCGCAUAACAACUUUAAACAUAAGUUUUAAGUUUGAAAGAUGCAAUUGCAUCACUCAAAGAUGAUCCCGCGUUGUAUUAGCUAGUUGGUGAGGUAAAGGCUCACCAAGGCGAUGAUACAUAGCCGACCUGAGAGGGUGAUCGGCCACAUUGGGACUGAGACACGGCCCAAACUCCUACGGGAGGCAGCAGUAGGGAAUCUUCGGCAAUGGACGAAAGUCUGACCGAGCAACGCCGCGUGAGUGAAGAAGGUUUUCGGAUCGUAAAACUCUGUUGGUAGAGAAGAACGUUGGUGAGAGUGGAAAGCUCAUCAAGUGACGGUAACUACACAGAAAGGGACGGCUAACUACGUG